rnacentral:lncRNA from 1 species
GGAGCAGGAGUAGUGCCGCGUGUACUUUGCACGUGCGGCGUGCGGCGCGGUACCUUUCGCAACUACCAACGACCUAACUAACACACCUGGAUCACAAACGGGCUUUCGCGCAACUGCCAACGAACAGGGGUGGCACGUGGCGUGACGGUUGGCGCUCAGCGCGACUGGGAGCUGGUAGUUAAGAGGGGGCGCGUGUGGGAAGCUGCUGUGGAGUACGGCGGAGCUCGGCGGGGGUGGCGGUUGGCGCGCAGUGCGAGUGGGAGUGCGUAGUUGGACAGCGAGGCGAGUGGGAAGCUGCAACAGAGUAUGGCGGAGCUCGGCGGAGGCUGGCGGUUGGCGCGCAGUGCGAGUGGGAGUGCAUAGUCGUGCGCGUGUCGUUGGGGAAGCUGUGUGUGAGCUGCGUGUGAACUCAGAGAGAAGCAUGGGGCUGACCCCUGUCCAUGGGCUGCCUCUAAGCGCACACGGUUUCACACGGUUGACACGGGUACCUCCGCGGGGCGGCGCCCCCUGGCGCCGCCCCGCGUGUGAGUUCGUGUGAGGAUGCGGAUGACUGCGACCUAGAUGCGGGGGAAACAUGUCCGGUUGCGCGACGCGCAAAGCGCGCCGUGGCGGAGCGUUUCCCUCCCCAGGCUGGUGGCGAUUGCAUCAGAGCGCACACGGUUUCACACGGCUGCCAAAGGGACGGUCGCUGCUGGGGCGGCGGCAGGGGGCUGAAGAGAAGGAACUAGCUGGAGUGCAUGAGAGUCGCUGGUGUGCACGCGCGGGCGGGGCGCAGGGGAACUCGGCGGAAACUCGGCGGAAACUGGUGGGGAAUUCGUGCAAAACUCGCGUGAAACUCGGGCGAAAUUCCAGCAAAACUUGGGAGUUGCACCAGGCUGCGAGAGCGUAAAAAUAAUUGCAGAAUUUGAUAUAUGUUGCGAGAUAUAUAAACAUGGAUGCAUCAGGUUACUUUCAUCGCCUUGCGCAGCGCGCGAUAGGCGUCCUCAUGCAGCUGGUUCGCAGGCAGCCAUUCCGCU